AACCUUCUAUUUGGUUUGAAGAAUUUGCAAGUAAAGUGGCAUCUGAACAUUGAGCUACAUUUGUGCAGAAUUAGUGCAACACUGUCCAUUCUUUCUGCUCUGUUUAUCAGGUUAAGAAGUGCCAUUUGCUGUGUAAAUAGGAUUUUGCAUCUUGCAAACUGUAUAGACAUAGGAGAUGAGAGUUUCUUUUCAGUACAGAGAUCUAGUUGCAGGUUUCAUGCUUGUAGGGAGAUCAAAGGGGACAACUUUGUUUGCCCUUUGAAGCUUUGCAGUUUUCUGAAAAUUUGCUGAUGCAGUUGUAGCAAUUAGCUGUUGACCUCAAAUACAUUUCUUUUGUGGAGUAAAUUUGCCACCUGGAUUUUGCGCAGGAACUGAGAUGGCACAGUUAGUUUGCGGAGGGUGCCACACUCUCCUGAUGUACAUACGUGGCGCGACAAGUGUACAAUGUUCUUGCUGCCACACUGUUAACCUGGCUAUGGAAGGUAGUACACCAAUGAAGCUACUAUAUAUUUCUCCUCUUCCUCAGUUGAAACAAGUAUAUUCCGUGGCUCUGAUUCCUGUUUGCAAAAUCCAUCUUCUGAAAAGAAUAUAUUCUGUGGUCGGAAACUCUAGCAAUCAGCCAAUAGCAUUUUAACAUCACAGAUUUGGCCUCUUGGAGUCGCAUUCACUAAAAUCGGUCAUUAUUCGGAAAUCUAAAAAGUUUGACAGUGAUAUCCUAGAAUCACUGAAAUGGAAUGAAUAUCUCAUAGAUCUGUUUUAGUCUGCAAAAAAGAAAUUACUGAAAAUUUCACAAGAUUUUACUCCGACUAAUCAAGUUGUGGACUCUCAUAAUCAGAGAAACUCUUAUCAAUUGUUCAGAGUUCAGAAAGAAAAAAAAUGCGUGAUUAAUUCUAAACAUUACAAGUGAUAAAUGAUUCCCUUAUUUUCUGUUGCAGCGAAUCAAGUUGCACAUGUAAACUGCGGGAACUGCCGUAUGCUGCUUAUGUACCAGUAUGGAGCUAGGUCUGUGAAAUGCGCAGUCUGCAAUUUUGUGACAUCAGUUGGGGUAAGUAUUCAUCAGAGUGCUCUUAAGUUUUAACUAUACACGUUCUUUAGCACUAACAUCAUUUCAGUGCUAUUGCCAACUUGUAUUGCUCAUGGGAAUUUACAAUUAAACCCACUUUUCAUUCCCCUCAGGCAUCACCUGGUGCAGAGCAGAAGCCCAGCAGCUGAUGUUUCUGAAAAUACUGAGAUCACCUAUGAAGGCAGCUUCUGAAAAGGAUGCUUUGAGUGCACAUGUAUAGAGUUCUUCCCUGAAGCAAUUUUUCCCCUCCUUUAUCUCCAUUCUCCCCCAUCCAUUCCUGCGUUCCUCCGAUGGACCUGGCGAGCCCGCGGAAUAAAUGAGAGUUUUGGGAAAUAACUAGUGCUCAACUUCGUCGACUUGUCUGUAAAACUGAAUGAGACAUACAUAAACCUAUG
rnacentral:lncRNA from 1 species